GGAGCCAGACAUGAUCGUCAAAUUGAUCUUCAGGAUGAAUUCUGCUAAGCGUUGCCACGGCAGCAGUGAGCAGCACGUAUAAACGUCUUCUAUCUGUCUUCUCCCCUGACAGCGACAGAGGUCUGCGCUGGCGUCGGUUACCGGGAAGCCUUUCAGAAGUACAUCCUGCCCAAAGGUGCCGUAGAGGAUUGUGGUCGUCUGGGAAGCGGUGGAAAGGCUCCAGGGUCCGAGAGAAGCAAGGGAAUGGCAGGCGGUGGCGGAUCCGAGGCCGACAGUAGCAGCCGAAGUGCGGAGAUGGAGGACGGAGUAAGGCGUCUGCCAUAGCGCUGGUGGGCCCACCGAAGGGCUCUGUCGAGGGCCUCUUUAUUAAAUGGCCCCAAGUUGGUGCGGAUCUGUUCUAUUGUGUGUGUAUAAUGUUUAAUUAAAGUCUUUAGAUUUAUGAUCAUGUAUUCCAUUGUGUUGUCUUUAAUUUGGUUUAAGACCAGAUCGUCA
rnacentral:lncRNA from 1 species